UACAGAGGUCCCAAGCGUUGUUCGGAUUCAUUGGGCGUAAAGGGUGCGUAGGCGGCGCGGUAAGUCGGGUGUGAAAUCUCGGGGCUUAACUCCGAAACUGCAUUCGAUACUGCUUUGCUUGAGGACUGGAGAGGAGAUCGGAAUUCACGGUGUAGCAGUGAAAUGCGUAGAUAUCGUGAGGAAGGCCAGUGGCGAAGGCGGAUCUCUGGACAGUUCCUGACGCUGAGGCACGAAGGCCAGGGGAGCAAACGGG
rnacentral:rRNA from 1 species